rnacentral:rRNA from 1 species
AGAUAAUAGAUACCCAGGUAGUCCACGCCCUAAACGAUGACAACUGGCUAUAAGGAGUAUCGACCCUCUUUGUGGCGAAAGCUAACGCGUUAAGUUGUCCGCCUGGGUAGUACGGCCGCAAGGCUAAAACUCAAAGGAAUAGACGGGGACUUGCACAAGCGGUGGAUCAUGCGGCUCAAUUCGAUGACAAACGAAGAACCUCACCAGGGUUUGAAACCCAGACGAUCGCUCUAGGAAACUAGAGCUUCCGCAAGGCGGCUGGGCAGGUGAUGCAUGGUCGUCGUCAGUUCGUGGCUUGAGUUGUUCCCUUCAGUGGGGUAACGAACGCAACCCUCGUUGCCUGUUUUAAAAGUCAGGCGAGACUGCCCCCUCACGGGGGAGGAAGGUGAGGAUGACGCCAGAUCAGCAUGUCCCCUCUGAUAUCCUGGGGCUGCACGCAUGAUACAAUGGACGAGACAACGGGUCGCGACGGAGUAAUCCUGAGCUAAUCCUUAGAACUCGUCCCAGUUCGGAUUGAGGGCUGCAACUCG